GACGUAGGGUGCAAGCGUUGUCCGGAAUUAUUGGGCGUAAAGAGCUCGUAGGCGGUCUGUCGCGUCUGCUGUGAAAACUCAGGGCUUAACCCUGAGCUUGCAGUGGGUACGGGCAGACUAGAGUGCGGUAGGGGAGACUGGAAUUCCUGGUGUAGCGGUGAAAUGCGCAGAUAUCAGGAGGAACACCCGGUGGCGAAGGCGGGUCUCUGGGCCGGCAUUGACGCGUGAGGCGACGGAAAGCCAGGGGAGCGAAACGGG
rnacentral:rRNA from 1 species